GAUGAAGAACGCAGCGAAAUGCGAUAAGUAAUGUGAAUUGCAGAAUUCAGUGAAUCAUCGAAUCUUUGAACGCACAUUGCGCCCGCCAGUAUUCUGGCGGGCAUGCCUGUUCGAGCGUCACUACAACCCUCAGGCCCCCGGGCCUGGCGUUGGGGAUCGGCGGAGCCCCCCGUGGGCACACGCCGUCCCCCAAAUACAGUGGCGGUCCCGCCGCAGCUUCCAUCGCGUAGUAGCUAACACCUCGCGACUGGAGAGCGGCGCGGCCACGCCGUAAAACACCCAACUCUUCUGAAGUUGACCUCGAAUCAGGUAGGAAUACCCGCUGAACUUAAGCAUAUCAAUAAGCGGAGGA
rnacentral:misc_RNA from 1 species